GAACUCCUACGGGAGGCAGCAGUGAGGAAUAUUGGUCAAUGGCCGAGAGGCUGAACCAGCCAAGUCGCGUGAGGGAAGACUGCCCUAUGGGUUGUAAACCUCUUUUGUCAGGGAGCAACGCCGGCUACGUGUAGCCGAACUGAGAGUACCUGAAGAAAAAGCAUCGGCUAACUCCGUGCCAGCAGCCGCGGUAAUACGGAGGAUGCGAGCGUUAUCCGGAUUUAUUGGGUUUAAAGGGUGCGUAGGCGGAAUGCCAAGUCAGCGGUAAAAUCGCGGGGCUCAACCUCGCUCCGCCGUUGAAACUG
rnacentral:rRNA from 1 species